UGGAAAUGCUUAGUGUGAGAUUUAGUAGAGCUGAAAGAAAGAAAUUCUUGAUGACACAAAAAUGUAAUGAUUUUGUGAUGUAAUGAAAGGUCAUUCGUGGCACCAGUAAAGGAAUGAAGUAGCUCAAAAGUUAAUUAACCAAUGCAGCUUAUUUACCGCCCCUUAAAAAAACAUUUUUUUAAAUGAGCACCACCAUAAACAGUUCAUUUUUCUAAAGAGGUUGCAAAUAGUCGGUUUCCUUUUAACAAUUCAAUGAAUUCAACAAAAAACAUUCAGUCAUAGAGGGCUCCCAGAAAUUCAGUCAGUCUGACUUUUAUGAAAUAGUGUACAAUACCACGAAGAGGGAAACUUCAACCCAAAAUCUAUCGCAGACCUGGUGUCCACCAAGGGUAAUUGCGAAUCUUUUGAAGUCAUUGCUGGUCCCAGUGCCCUGUCUGUCUACGCCCUGCGUCUUGGCCCUGGCGAGGAAAUCUUAAGCUGCCUGGUCAGAUUUGUGGAGCAGAAGAAGCUGAAAGCACCAUUUGUCAUCACUUGUGUGGGCAGCGUCACCAAGGCAACACUUAGACUGGCAAAUGCCACUGCGUUGAAUACUAAUGAGGUGAUUCAUCUCAAUGAAAAUUGUGAGAUUGUCUCCUUAGUUGGCACACUGAAUGAAGAGGCUCACUUACACAUCUGCCUGGCUGAUAAAGAUGGCAAAACUAUAGGAGGACAUGUGCUGGGCAAUCUAGAAGUCUUCACGACUGCGGAAAUAGUCAUUGGUGAGGGAGAUCACAUCUGCUUUGCGAGGAAGAUGGAUGAUCGUACAGGUUUUCCAGAACUUGUCGUCUCUUCCCGUUCUCUUCAGAUCUAGAUAUUUAUACCCAUGUGAAUUUAACUUGUAUUUAUUUCCUUCUUCCCUCCCUCUUUAUAAAGGAGCUUUAAAUAAAGAGAGUCAUAGAAUGCU